AAGACAUUAGUAAAAUGCAAAUUACACCACCUUGUCAAGAUGGUAUCGUAGGUUAAAUCCCUGCAUGUCUUA
rnacentral:tRNA from 4 species